AGGUCCACGGACACGUCAAUCUUGUGGCUGUCGAAGCCAGCCUCGUCCCAAUACUGGUGCACUAGCGGCAAGGUGCCCUCCGGCAUGGGUUCCAAAGUGGGCAUCCAGGUAUGCGCGUAGCCCAUUCGAUCGUAGCGCAGCAGCGCGCGCAUGGCCUUGGUGAAGGGCAUGCCGGUGAGGCCCUCGAUCACUUCGGUGAGCAGCAGGUAGUUCGCGUCGGUGUAGGCGUAGUGCGCUCCCCGGCUCGGCC
rnacentral:rRNA from 1 species